rnacentral:rRNA from 1 species
AACCGGGGGAACUGAAACAUCUAAGUACCCCGAGGAAAAGAAAUCAACCGAGAUUCCGAAAGUAGCGGCGAGCGAAAUUGGAUUAGCCCUUAAGCUUUAUAUGCGUUAGACGAACGGUCUGGAAAGUCCGGCGAUACAGGGUGAUAGCCCCGUAGUUGACGACGUGUGUUCAGUGAAAUCGAGUAGGGCGGGACACGUGAUAUCCUGUCUGAAUAUGGGGGGACCAUCCUCCAAGGCUAAAUACUACUGACUGACCGAUAGUGAACCAGUACCGUGAGGGAAAGGCGAAAAGAACCCCUGUGAGGGGAGUGAAAUAGAACCUGAAACCGUGUACGUACAAGCAGUAGGAGCAGGCUUGUCCUGUGACUGCGUACCUUUUGUAUAAUGGGUCAGCGACUUAUAUUCAGUGGCAAGGUUAACCAUCUAGGGGAGCCGUAGGGAAACCGAGUCUUAACUGGGCGCUCAGUCUCUGGAUAUAGACCCGAAACCAGGUGAUCUAGCCAUGGGCAGGUUGAAGGUUGAGUAACAUCAACUGGAGGACCGAACCGACUAAUGUUGAAAAAUUAGCGGAUGACUUGUGGCUAGGGGUGAAAGGCCAAUCAAACCUGGAGAUAGCUGGUUCUCCCCGAAAGCUAUUUAGGUAGCGCCUCGGACGAAUACUACUGGGGGUAGAGCACUGUUAAGGCUAGGGGGUCAUCCCGACUUACCAA